rnacentral:misc_RNA from 1 species
CACUGAGCUUCAGUAGCAAGCUCUUCGCUGCUAUAAGUUUAAACUUUUUCGAAGGAACAAUGAUGGCGCAAAAGAAGUUUUGUAUGCCUUACACAGCGGUCUUCAUGCUUACUGUGUGUUUUCUUCCUUCGCAAAUUGCUCACGGCCAUGAAAUCUUUGACCGCGAAAUCGAGGAAGAGAAAAGUAGCCCUUGGUUUUCUCGCCGAGCGCUUCCUAAGUGGAUAGAAGAGUUACCCGAUUCGGUUCCGCAAUGGAUGAAAACUGCCGCCUCCAACUACCGUGGGUCUCCCCAACAGAUCGUUUGCGCAGUGAAAAACUUGGCCAAGGCGUUGAAUGACAUGCAGGCAGCGAGAGCAAGGAACUGCGAUGAUUACUUUCGUUGCCGUGGAAGUAAAGACGCAGCCCAGUGUGGAACUUAUGCAGCAUCGUUUGCCACUCAAAUAAGAUAUAAACAAGAGUGGAGAUCAGCUGGUAUGGACAAGCAGUAUAACAGCCAGGCUGACGUGUUUGGAUUAGCGGGUGGUGACUGCCUGGAUCAAUAUAAGUACAAGACAUACGGGACUUCCCGUGAAUGCAACGUGCCUUGGUAUUACCACAAAUGAUUCGCCGGCCAUGACUGCCUGGAAACCUCGGAUAGGUUUUACUAUACUCGAGUCUGCUAUAUCCAUCAAAUUUCUGUUAAGUUUAAAAACUUGUUAAGUGAUGUUAAUUAAUUAUUAAGUUCAAUGAAUUAAUCAGAAAGAAAGCAUAAUUACUGAACAAAUUAAGACAACAACAAUAAUAAAAACAUGAUAAGUUACACAAAGGUUUGAUUAACAUUUUUUUGCCAGAGAGGAGUAAAUAAAUAACGACAUUUCAGAUAGUAAUUGGAAAUUCACUCCGGCUCUGUGCGUGCAUGAAUUGAGGCCCUGUCCACACUACACCAGAGAAAUUUGAAAACGCAGCUUUAUUUCUGGGGUUAGGCCUACGGCGUCCAAAAAAAUCCAGAAUAUUGACCACCGGCCGAAAACGGAGCCUUUCGAUAUUCGAAUCACACGAAUUUGAAAACGCCGGCUUGCGUUUUAGUGUGUGGAACCUCUCGAUUAUUCGAAUCCAAUUUUGUUUUCUUGGUAGCUGGGAACUGCAUGUAUUUCUAUUGUAAAACGAAAAUGCAAACGUUCAAGCUGAGAAUUAAACUACUGGACACCAAAAUAGACUCCACAUUGGAGUAAGCCUUAUAUCGGCUAGAUAAUCCCUCUGAAGUUAAUUUUAGAUCUCUCACGGUUUGGACGUCCCAGGGGAUCCUGAGACAGGAAUUUUGCUUACAUGGACAGCCCCAGCAAUUUGACACGGAAAUUCAUCCUCCACGAGAACCAUGGUGAUCCACGAAACGCGCUAGAACUGGAAAAAUAACUUGAGAAGGAUUAUCUUGGGAAUAAGUCUCUUGCCGUUCAUUCUCUCUUAUUCGUUAUGCCUUCUUAAUUUGUCACCACUAGAGCCCAGCUGUCUUGUUGAAUUCAAAUGCUUAAUUGCAUUGCGCAUCCUUGCUGCCCACGUUUUUCAGGUCGUUUGCGCAUGCCUAAACGAGCAGGGCAACCCCACUCACUUAAUGUAUAAAUUUAAAUGACAUAUGGUUGACUACGACAUGUCGCGAUAAAGUUUAAAAUUCUGGUUUGAUAUAUUUCUAUUUCAUAUGCAUCCUCGGAGACCCAGGGGCUACUAGCCGGGACGAUGCGAUAUUUUCGGGCGAGCGAUAUUUUUGGUGCGAAAGUUUACUUCAAGAGCUGAAUAGCCCCUGGGAACUUAUUCUUACCAAACCAGUUCCAGCGCUGGUCAAAUUCCGUCCCGCUGAUUGGCCAGUAGCCCCUGGGUCUCCGAGGAUGUUUCAUAUGGUGUAAAGCCUAGAACUUUCUUUUAGGAAAUGCUGGUUAUGUGCUCAUGCAGAAAAUUCGUUCAGUAAUUUGCUUCAUGAUCUGAAUUAGUUAUUUUUCAAUUAAUUAAGAUAGGUUAUAAUGUGAGAUCAAAGUCUUGUUCAACAGCUGCAACAUUUUAAUGCAAGGAUUUUUUCAGAAAUUUCAGUUAAUACUUUCCCUUCCUUAUUACAAGGGUACGUUCCUAAGAAAAGUCUCGGGGGCAAAAAAGUUGCUAAAACCGUCAUCCAUAUUGCGCAAAAGAGAGCACGGCGACCCUAGUUUUAUACUGCACUGUAUUUUGCAAGAUUUCUAUCAUAAACAACGGAAGGGGCCAGUUUGCCUGUUUUCCUAUAAUAAUGAAUACUGAAAUGUUGAAAAGGAAGAUCCGAUCAGGAAGGUAUUCAACUUAUUCGGUAUGAAACAGAAAUUUUUCUAAUGUUACAAAUAGCAUUCAUAACAUCCAUGUUAGUUUAUUGAAAAGAAUCACGUAUUAUUUUGAUGGUUGAAUACCUGAUUAAGAAUUUAGAGGGCUGAUAUUGAAACCACUACGUCACUGAAGACAAUUAUAUGGUAAUUAACUUCUUAUGUCUUAUGAUUGGCGCCGUGAUCACCAUAAUGGAGGCUCGGUUUAAAACAGCUGUGUGUGGUAGGAAGGAAAAAUUGGUUAACACACUGUUGGAAUAGACUCCGUAUGACUUGAGGACACAGGGAAACUCCACAAAUGUGGACGAGGUAUACGAGCCUCUUGUUGAAGCUCAAGCAAAGAUGAAAAUCUCUUGAAAACCAAAACGGUUCUAAAGGAAUCAUUUUGCCCUAAACUGGCUAAGAACUGACGGAAAGUGGUGGAUCAAAUGAGCGGAAUGGAACUUAAUGGAGUUUUGCCCAAUGGGAAUGUCAAACAACAAAACCUCACCACCUUACAGGUCGACAGAAUAACACGGUCAUCACUCACUCCCACGG